rnacentral:tRNA from 1 species
GCAGUGGUGGUUCAGUGGUAGAAUUCUCACCUUCCAUGCGGGAGACCUGGGUUCGAUUCCCAGCCAGUGCA